ensembl:lncRNA
CAAGUGGCACAAAAAGGCCGUUUCAGUCAGCCGAUGGGAUGGAGACAGUCAGCAUUAUGCAGACGUCAAAUCAAUCAAAAACAAAAGCUCGCAUGACGCAGAAGAUACUGCGCGCUUGGUGCUGCAGAGGUGUUUUGGCCAAACGAGGGAGACUGCAACUGGCUUACUGGAUACAAGCAGCCUGUGAGCCUUCUUCAUUCAGAAUAAACCAGGUUCAACCACGUUCCUUUCCGGUAAAUUGUUCUUUAAGGAACGGAGUAAUGCUGAUCCCCAGCCGGCUGUGCAGUAAGAGGCUUCAGUGGCUGGUGGCCAUGGUGCUGACGACUGGGAAGGCUUCCAACCUCAGAUCCCUGAUUGACCCAGGAGCGGUCAAACUCGGCAGGAAGCCCAUCGCAACCAGCCAGCGCCAUUUAUCCACUUACCAAUGAAACCAAUUACUUUUACAGCGAGCCUCGGCGCCGACACUGAAUGUGUUGUUCCUUCAGACCAAUAGAGUAUGACUGUGAAAGGAGGGUGAGACAAGAAGUAGGAAACCCUCCUGAGCUGCUUCAACAGGCUGUAAAAUAUACCUAAAGUCAGUCUCCAUGGAGACUCACCGACGUGUGAGAGGUCCCUCAUUACUGUCGCUGACACCUUUAACUGUUACUACAUUGCAUAUCAUUCAUCCUGCUGACCACUUCCACUAUUUCAAUCCUUUCUCGUGGGAAUUGAAUGGAUUGUACAUAUUUUACGUCAUUCAUUCUAUGACAUCUUGUCUAUUAUAGAGGGAUCCUCCACGCUUUUGUCCCCUUUUCGGACAGACCUUAAAAUUUAUGAUUUUGGUCAAUACUAAAUUAAUAUAAUUCAACCAUUUUUUUGUAUAAAUCAUUUGUUUUAGUAUUAUUAUUAUAAUAAUUAUUACUGAUGUCAGAAAAGUUUUAGAGUUGUAAACUAAUUGAAUAAACAAUUAAUAUAAACACAAAU